rnacentral:rRNA from 1 species
UGCUGCUUCGCUGACUAGUGGCGGACGGGUGAGUAAUGUCUGGGAAACUGCCUGAUGGAGGGGGAUAACUACUGGAAACGGUAGCUAAUACCGCAUAACGUCGCAAGACCAAAGAGGGGGACCUUCGGGCCUCUUGCCAUCGGAUGUGCCCAGAUGGGAUUAGCUAGUAGGUGGGGUAACGGCUCACCUAGGCGACGAUCCCUAGCUGGUCUGAGAGGAUGACCAGCCACACUGGAACUGAGACACGGUCCAGACUCCUACGGGAGGCAGCAGUGGGGAAUAUUGCACAAUGGGCGCAAGCCUGAUGCAGCCAUGCCGCGUGUAUGAAGAAGGCCUUCGGGUUGUAAAGUACUUUCAGCGGGGAGGAAGGCGAUAAGGUUAAUAACCUUGUCGAUUGACGUUACCCGCAGAAGAAGCACCGGCUAACUCCGUGCCAGCAGCCGCGGUAAUACGGAGGGUGCAAGCGUUAAUCGGAAUUACUGGGCGUAAAGCGCACGCAGGCGGUCUGUCAAGUCGGAUGUGAAAUCCCCGGGCUCAACCUGGGAACUGCAUUCGAAACUGGCAGACUAGAGUCUUGUAGAGGGGGGUAGAAUUC